GUGUGCUGCAGGUCACCAGACGCAGCCACACAGAUGGCCACGUCUUGUCUCCAUUCUAGCCAACUCAGAAGGAGGUGAUCUUUCAACAAGUGAACAACAUGAAAAUCCAGCCAAUAUCUGCUGCUGUGCCUGUUGAGAUGUAGAAUCCCUGCUUUGUCAGCGCCUGUCUCAGGACUAUCAUUUCUUCAAUGAGGAUAUUCAAUGACUCACCUCCAGUCUCAGAAGUCCAAUGGGUUCCAGGGAGAGCUUGACAACAAUAUCAGUCAUCAGGAAGAUACUCAUCCUCCUUACACUCUGAGGUCCGCCAUGGAAAAGGAGCAAAGCAUUACCUCCACUCUCAUGCCGCUCUCCCAUCCCAGGCCUGCACAGACACACUCUCCAGCGAGGCACAUGGCUUCAGCUGCACGGGACAUUCACAGCAGCUGCUCCACCACUUCCUCCACACGGCUGAGAGGAAACCCAUUCUCCUGUUUUCAAAAGGCAUCCUGUACCCUUCCUAGGAGGGUUUCCUCAAUUCUUUCAGCAGGGAGCAAAGUCCACAUUUCCCUCCUUGUCUAGCUGUGCUGGGAGAACUGGAUGCUGCAAGGGAAAAGGAUCAGCCCAGAAGGAAGGACGGGGACCGUGUGCAGUGCACUGCUUUAGAAGAGCUCAGUGCUACUGGCUGCCAUGAGGAGUUGACUAGACCUGCCUUCAGGGAGGCCUGCAUAGAGGACUUCACAGACCCAUCACUGAGGCUUACUAGUUUCAAGAGACCCCAGGUACCAUUCUAUCCAGGCCAAGAUUUACAAAAAUAUCUCCUGACACAGGGGGCCCUAUUCUCCUUUGGAGACAAGCAGCAGCUUUUGACAUCUGUUCCUCGGGGAACAGCCCUAUAUGACUCGCACCUCCUCCCACCCCUCUCCAGCAUUAACUGUGCUUC